UUAGUCCAGCGCCUGCGCGCGCUGCGCAGGCUCUGGCCCCGCCCCCGUCCACCUCGCUUUUCCGGCUGCAGUUAGCCCUCUUUGGACUCCCAGAACUUUCUCUUUCACCGCCUGCGGCUCACGGGUCUGCCCUGAGUACCGGACUCGGGUGGCCUAGGCUUCCUCCUAGGACAUCAAAUCGACCCGCACGGGGAUGGGGUCACCUCGCCCCCACCAGCUCUUCCUGCAGCAACUCUACCUCAGCUGUACCGCUUCUGCGUGGUUUCCUGGCUCCAGCGGGGGAGAAGCAGAGAGAGAGGGAUACAGAGGAUCUGAAGCAGCUCCUGCUGACAGCAGAAAGCGUGAUGCAGGGCUCCAACCCACCAACCGUGAGAUCAUGACCUGAAGUCGAAAGCUUAACCGGCUGAGCCGCCACCACCUGAGCCACCCAGAUGCCCCAGGUUCCUCAUACAUCCUAAAGUUGCUUUUACUUUGCACCUGUUCCCUCUGCCUGGAAUACUCUUCCUCCUUCAGGCCUCAGUUCAAGUCACCUCAGCGAGGCCUUCCUUGCCCAUUUAAUCCAGGACAGCCCCAGCUCCCACCCCAAGUCAUUCUUCAUCACA